UACGAAGGGGGCUAGCGUUGUUCGGAAUUACUGGGCGUAAAGCGCGCGCAGGCGGUCUUCCAAGUCAGUGGUGAAAGCCCGGAGCUCAACUCCGGAACUGCCAUUGAAACUGUUAGACUUGAGGACGAGAGAGGUGAGUGGAAUUCCCAGUGUAGAGGUGAAAUUCGUAGAUAUUGGGAAGAACACCGGUGGCGAAGGCGGCUCAUUGGCUCGUAUCUGACGCUCAGGCGCGAUAGCGUGGGGAUCAAACAGG
rnacentral:rRNA from 1 species